rnacentral:tRNA from 1 species
AAACAGAUAGCUUAAAUUUUAAAGCGUAGCUUUGAAGCAGCUAAGAAAAGCAUAGUCUUUUUGUUUA